rnacentral:rRNA from 1 species
UCGAGAGGCUUCCACAAUGGGGGAAACCCUGAUGGAGCGACGCCGCGUGGGUGAUGAAGGUUUUCGGAUCGUAAAACCCUUUCAGUAGGGAAGAAGUGGCUGGGUGCUAAUACCACCAGGCCUCGGACGGUACCUACAAAAGAAGCUCCGGCUAACUCCGUGCCAGCAGCCGCGGUAAGACGGGGGGAGCAAGCGUUGUUCGGAUUUACUGGGCGUAAAGGGCGUCUAGGCGGACUUGCAAGUCGAGCGUGAAAUCCCACGGCUCAACCGUGGAACUGCGCUCGAUACUGUUGGUCUUGAGUACGGAAGAGGAAAGCGGAAUUCCUGGUGUAGCGGUGAAAUGCGUAGAUAUCAGGAAGAACACCGGUGGCGAAGGCGGCUUUCUGGUCCGAUACUGACGCUGAAGCGCGAAAGUGUGGGGAGCAAACA